ensembl:snoRNA
AAAGCAGGUUGCAAUUACAGUGCUUCAUUUUUGUGGGAGUACUGCCAUUAUCCUGCUGAAAGAAAUGCUGUGUUAAUCGUUUUUGAUUUUGCCUUUUUGAGGGUAAAGUCAUGACAGAUUGACACAGACAAUU